GCAGCAGUGGGAAUUUUGGACAAUGGGGGAAACCUUGAUCCAGCCAUCCCGCGKKUAUGAUGAAAGCCUUCGGGUUGUAAAGUACUUUUGGCAGAGAAGAAAAGGUACCUCCUAAUACGAGGUACUGCUGACGGUAUCUGCAGAAUAAGCACCGGCUAAAUACGUGCCAGCAGCCGCGGUAAUACGUAGGGUGCAAGCGUUAAUCGGAAUUACUGGGCGUAAAGCGUGUGUAGGCGGUUCGGAAAGAAAGAUGUGAAAUCCCAGGGCUCAACCUUGGAACUGCAUUUUUAACUGCCGAGCUAGAGUAUGUCAGAGGGGGGUAGAAUUCCACGUGUAGCAGUGAAAUGCGUAGAUAUGUGGAGGAAUACCGAUGGCGAAGGCAGCCCCCUGGGAUAAUACUGACGCUCAGACACGAAAGCGUGGGGAGCAAACAGGAUUAGAUACCCUGGUAGUCCACGCCYUAAACGAUGUCAACUAGCUGUUGGGGCCGUUAGGCCUUAGUAGCGCAGCUAACGCGUGAAGUUGACCGCCUGGGGAGUACGGUCGCAAGAUUAAAACUCAAAGGAAUUGACGGGGACCCGCACAAGCGGUGGAUGAUGUGGAUUAAUUCGAUGCAACGCGAAAAACCUUACCUACCCUUGACAUGUCUGGAAAGCCGAAGAGAUUUGGCCGUGCUCGCAAGAGAACCGGAACACAGGUGCUGCAUGGCUGUCGUCAGCUCGUGUCGUGAGAUUUUU
rnacentral:rRNA from 1 species